UUACAGCCAUAUCAUGUUGAAACCAGUUCUCUUAUGAUCACCGAAAUUAAGCAACAUUAAGCAUGGUCAGUACUGAGAUGGGUGACCGCUUAGGAAUAAAAAGUACUGU